CAGUCGCCACGGGAAUACAGAGGAUGCAAGCGUUAUCCGGAAUGAUUGGGCGUAAAGCGCGCGCAGGUGGUUUAAUAAGUCUGAUGUGAAAGCCCACGGCUCAACCGUGGAGGGUCAUUGGAAACUGUUGAACUUGAGUGCAGGAGAGAAAAGUGGAAUUCCUAGUGUAGCGGUGAAAUGCGUAGAGAUUAGGAGGAGCACCAGUGGCGAAGGCGGCUUUUUGGCCUGUAACUGACACUGAGGCGCGAAAGCGUGGGGAGCAAACAGGAUUAGAUACCCGUGUAGUCCCUGUCUCUUAUAC
rnacentral:rRNA from 1 species